rnacentral:rRNA from 1 species
GAGUUUGAUCCUGGCUCAGGAUGAACGCUGGCGGCGUGCCUAACACAUGCAAGUCGAACGGAGAUAUGAUUUCGGUUGUAUCUUAGUGGCGAACGGGUGAGUAACGCGUGAGCACCCUGACUCUUAGAGGGGGAUAACACUCGGAAACGAGUGCUAAUACCGCAUAAGACCACGAUGUCGCAUGGCAAAGGGGUCAAAGGAGCAAUCCGCUGAGAGAGGGGCUCGCGUCCCAUUAGAUAGAUGGCGGGGUAACGGCCCACCAUGUCAACGAUGGGUAGCCGAGCUGAGAGGCUGAUCGGCCACACUGGAACUGAGACACGGUCCAGACUCCUACGGGAGGCAGCAGUGGGGAAUAUUGGGCAAUGGGCGCAAGCCUGACCCAGCAACGCCGCGUGAGGGAAGAAGGUCUUCGGAUUGUAAACCUCUGUCCUUGGGGACGAAAAAAAUGACGGUACCCAAGGAGGAAGCUCCGGCUAACUACGUGCCAGCAGCCGCGGUAAUACGUAGGGAGCAAGCGUUGUCCGGAAUUACUGGGCGUAAAGGGUGCGUAGGCGGCAAUGCAAGUCAGAUGUGAAAUCCCCGGGCUUAACUCGGGAGGUGCAUUUGAAACUGUAGAGCUUGAGUGCAGGAGAGGAAAGUGGAAUUCCUAGUGUAGCGGUGAAAUGCGUAGAUAUUAGGAGGAACACCAGUGGCGAAGGCGACUUACUGGACUGUAACUGACGCUGAGGCGCGAAAGCGUGGGGAGCAAACAGGAUUAGAUACCCUGGUAGUCCACGCUGUAAACGAUGAAUACUAGGUGUAGGGGGUAUCAACUCCCCCUGUGCCGCAGCUAACGCAAUAAGUAUUCCGCCUGGGGAGUACGGCCGCAAGGUUGAAACUCAAAGGAAUUGACGGGGGCCCGCACAAGCAGCGGAGCAUGUGGUUUAAUUCGAAGCAACGCGAAGAACCUUACCAGGGCUUGACAUCCUACGAAUCCUUAGGAAACUAGGGAGUGCCCUUCGGGGAGCGUAGAGACAGGUGGUGCAUGGUUGUCGUCAGCUCGUGUCGUGAGAUGUUGGGUUAAGUCCCGCAACGAGCGCAACCCCUGUGUUUAGUUGCUAACGUUUAGCACUCUAGACAGACUGCCGGUGAUAAACCGGAGGAAGGUGGGGAUGACGUCAAAUCAUCAUGCCCCUUAUGUUCUGGGCUACACACGUGCUACAAUGGCCUGAACAGACGGAAGCGAAGCCGCGAGGUGAAGCAAAACCGAGAAAGCCGGUCUCAGUUCGGAUUGCAGGCUGCAACUCGCCUGCAUGAAGUCGGAAUCGCUAGUAAUCGCAGGUCAGCAUACUGCGGUGAAUACGUUCCCGGGCCUUGUACACACCGCCCGUCACACCACGAAAGUCGGCAACACCCGAAGCCGGUGACUCAACCCGAAGGGAGAGAGCCGUCGAAGGUGGGGUUGGUAAUUGGGGUGAAGUCGUAACAAGGUAACC